AUUGAACGCUGGCGGCAGGCCUAACACAUGCAAGUCGAACGAGUGGCGGACGGGUGAGCAAGGUCUGGGAAACUGCCUGAUGGAGGGGGAUAACUACUGGAACCGGUAGCUAAUACCGCAUACCAUCGGAGGUGCCCAGAUGGGAUGUGCUAGUAGGUGGGGUAACGGAUCACCUAGGCGCCGAUCCCUAGCUGGUCUGAGAGGAGGACCAGCCAGUCUGGACCUGAGACAUGUUCCAGACUCGGACGGUGUGCAGCAGUGGGGAAUAUGGGCCAAUGGUCGCGAUGCUGAUGCAGCCAAGCCGCGUGUAUGAAGAGGGGCUUCGGGUUGGAAAGUACUAUAAGCGAGGAGGCGUUACUCGGAGAGGAAGCGCCGGAUAACUCCGUGCCAGCAGCCGCGGUAAUAC
rnacentral:rRNA from 1 species